UGCAAAAGACUAUUAAAAAAAAUAUCAUUAGUUUGAUAAUUCCCAAAAAUUUAAAAAACCCUACGCUGUUCCAUUACGGUUCCUUCUGAGCUUCUUCGCUUGCGAAUUCCUCUGUUCAUCCGAAUUCCUCCGAUUGGUGAAUCGUUUGUUCAGAUUAUCUGAGUGAGCGUUUCUUGGACUGGAUUCAGGGCAUCAGCUUCAGGGGAAUUAGGGGCUUAGCAGCGAGGCGACUCGUGAUUGGGCAAAACUAAAAGUAGCAAUGACAUGUGGAGGAGAUCCUUACGUGAAGCUUUAGUUGGAAUGAUAUGGACUAACAUAGCGGGUUAUGACAUUUUCUACAAUGUGGAACAACUACAAUAGUUAUGGUUUUUUAACUUGUGAAACUUUUGACAGAUUCUCUAGACUUUUUAUCGUAUUGAACCGUUGGCUAAGAUUGUAGAUACUUUUGUUAUUGGUACUUGUGUUUCUACAUCUAUGUACUUAUGAAUUAUAUUUUAUCACGA